GCCCAGCUGUCUUUUCUUUUAUCUCUUUGUCUUGUGUCUUUAUUUCUACACUCUCUCGUCGCUGCACACAGGGAGAGACCCACCAACGCUGUGGGGCUGGUCCCUACAGGUGUGUAGCUUUUUUUUCUUUUCUUUUCUUUUCUUUUCUUUUCUUUUCUUUUCUUUUCUUUUCUUUUCUUUUCUUUUGCAGCUACCUUCUUUAGGAAUAAAAUGAGAGGCAGGUCUGCCUGACUGCAGUUCCCAGCUUGACUUUGCCCUUUGGCUUAGUGAUUGUGGGUCCAAGAUUUAUUUUCCUUUCACAACCCCAAGGCUUGGUACAAAUCCCCACCACUUGUGUUGAUCAGAAACCAGCAAACAUGGGAACCAGGAUGAGAAGAGGAAGGCAGGCUGGGCCGAUGGUGUCCGUGGAGCCCACUAGGCCAACAAGGAUGAGCUC
rnacentral:lncRNA from 1 species